rnacentral:antisense_RNA from 2 species
AAGAGCACGACAUUGCUCACAUUGCUUCCAGUAUUACGUUGCCCGCACCUCGUGUUGCGGGCUUUUUUU